rnacentral:misc_RNA from 1 species
GAAUCGCGAUAUGUAAUGUGAUCUGCAUUUAGUGAAUCAUCGAAUCUUUGAACGCAUCUUGCGCCCAAGGGUAAUCCUUUGGGCACGCCUGUUUCAGUGUUAUGUUAAACCCAAAAUCUCUUUUUUGGUGAUGUAACGUUGGGCUUGCCAAUCAUUUUUUUGAUCGGUCUUGCUUGGAAUGAUAUCAAUUCCAGUCGGAUCACCUUAUUCUUCAGAUCAGGCUUUGGUAGACUACCGAAAGUCGCGUUUGAACGGAUUUAGGCCCGAAUUGAUGGGAUUUUUAAACAUUUUCAAUAUUUAACCUGAAAUCAGGCGGGACUACCCGCUGAACUUAA